GCACUUAGCUGGCAGGUGAGAUACCAUGAUCAAGCAGGUGGUUUUUCCCAGGGUGAGGUUCCUCGGUUGCACUAGGGAGGUGCUGAUCCCUGCGAUUUCCCCAAGUGUGGGAAACUCAACUGCAUAAUUUGUGGUAGUGGGGGACUGCGUUCGCGCUCUCCCCUG